UACGUAGGGCGCAAGCGUUGUCCGGAAUUAUUGGGUGUAAAGAGCUCGUAGGCGGUUUGUCACGUCGGGUGUGAAAGCCCGGGGCUUAACCCCGGGUCUGCAUUCGAUACGGGCAGGCUAGAGUGUGGUAGGGGAGAUCGGAAUUCCUGGUGUAGCGGUGAAAUGCGCAGAUAUCAGGAGGAACACCGGUGGCGAAGGCGGAUCUCUGGGCCAUUACUGACGCUGAGGAGCGAAAGCGUGGGGAGCAAACAGG
rnacentral:rRNA from 1 species